GCCCGGGUGGCGAAAUGGCAGACGCAAGGGACUUAAAAUCCCUUGGGGGCAACCCCGUGCGGGUUCGAGUCCCGCCCCGGGCA
rnacentral:tRNA from 1 species